CUGUGUCAAAUGGAUUUAGUUUGUGGAUUUCAACUCCUUGAUUAGUUGAUUCCUGUGUCUUUAAUUUUUUGAAGUUAUCAUGAACAGAACUGUUUUUGUAAUUUUUCUCUUGUUAGGUUCAUUAUUGGUGUACAGGAACGCUACUGAUUUUUUGUUUCUUACUUUUGUAGCUGGUCAUUUUGCUGAAUUUCUUUAUCGGAUCUAAGAGUCUCCUGAUAGAAUUUUUUGUCUUCUAUGUAAAGGAUUAUAUCAUGUACACCUAUACAUAAUUUGAUUUCUUUCCUACUCAUACCCACUUUAUUUCUUUCUUUUGCCUAAUUGCUCAGCUAAAGUUGCAAGUGUUGCAUUGAACAAAAGUGGAGAGAAUGGAGACUUGUCCCCUUCCUGAUUUUCCAGAGAAGAUUUCAGCUUUUCUCAAUUCUAUAUGGUGUUGACUGUGGGUUUCUCACAUGACUUCUAUCAGUUUGAGACUCUGAUAUGUGGUGAUUCUGUGGUCAUUUGAUUCUAGGAAAUUUUAAAUAUCUUCCUUCUGAGUAAUUUCCAGUUUCUGAAGCAAAUGGGAAAGAGCACUCUGGAAGCAAAGGCUUCCACCGAGAAGUACAGCUGUAGGAUUCCAAAGAAGCACUCCUGGAUUCUGAGAAAAAGAAAAUGGAGAUAGGACUAAUCCUCUCGACUAUUAUCACGAAUACCAAGAGUUGUCUUGUUCACCCCAAUACACAGAGUUAAACAACUUCAACCUUGACUGUUUCAGCUGCAUCCUACAGACCUGUGCAACACGGCAGCUGUGCAUCCUUUGAGCAAUGCAAGAACACACAACAAGAAGGCCAUGGUGGAUGAAGUCACAAUCUCAGCCACUUAGUCCCAAAAAGGAUGUUCCACGAGAUUCAAUGUACCCCGUCAGACAAAAUAGCUCAGCAGGGUUCCAAGGCACUGGGUUGUGUGAAGCCAAAUCAUUAUUCAGGAGCCAAGUUUACUCAGAAGGCACACCAAGGAUCCUCCACCAUGAGGGGAGGCACGCCUCACUCCAAUCAGGGAGGGAAGCAGAUGCAUUUCCCUCAGGGCCAUGCAGUGAUGGGAUGGCCCCAGGAGUGGAGACAGAAAGAAACUGGAUGUCCCAUGUGCUGAUGGCAAAUUUCUGAGGAAACGUUCUUCAUGAAUCUUACAUAGGAAACUGUAAAGCGACAUGUCUAAUUAGGGCCCAGUGUCUGGAAAUGAAAGAAAAUGUAGAGUUCACAUAAAUCUCUUCAGAACACCCUUGGGUUAUAAAGUUCCUGAGUUUCACAGCAAACUUUGUAGAGAUAUCUGUGAGUUGUGGCCCUGAGACAGACCUGGGAAGCAAAUCUCUUCAGCUGGUGAGUCACGUGACUGUCAACCUUUCUGCCAUUUAAGGGCUCAGUUUCCUUAUGUGUAAUGAAAAGUAAUGUCUUUACUUUACUGGGAGAUUGAGCACAGAAUGGCAGAACAAAGAAUCACUCACUUAAGUUUUUCUAUCACAGCUUCUAACACUGACUUGGUGACAAUAAACUAUCUAUUGAUGUUGUGUGUACCUAUUCCUAUUUAAUUUUUAAAAUCAGCCCUACCUCAAAAAUACUUAUCCCCUCUGUCAUAUCAUUUGUAAUAAUGCAAGACUCAAUCUAAUCAUGAAAAAACCUCGGGCAAACUCAAACUGAAUGACUUUCUACAAAAUAACAGGACAGUAAGUACUCUUGUAAAUGUCUCUAGCUAAUGAAAGACAAGAAAGACUGAAGGAAAUGUCCAGGAUAGAGGGUGUUAGGGAGACACAAUAGCUGAUUGCUGUAUAGGAUCCUGGUUUAAGUUCUAAAGGAUUAAAGGAUAUUAAUGGAAAAACUGAUCAAAUCAGGCAAGGUUUGUAUUUUUGUUGAAUAUUUAAAACAGCAAUAGAAGGACAAAUAACAUAAACAAUUUAUUUUUACUUUUAAAAGGGAACAUCAGUCUGGUUAUUUCCUUACAGCACCAGGAGCAGUGGGGACUCUUACUUUUCUGUAUAAUUACUGUACAGCUGUGAACAGCUUUGUGUUUAUCAUUUGAACACCUAUAAGAUUCUUGAUGCGUAUGUGUCAGGUAUCGUAUUUCAAGCAUUCUUUUUCUCAAUAUGUAUUGCCCAUUAAGGCAAUCCCAGAUGAAUAAGUGUACAAAGUAACAGAUUUCAUGCCAAUAUCUUUCUAUAACAGUUAUCCUGGAUUUCACUCACCUUGGCAUAACAUGUUAACAUAAUCAUAUUCAGUGCCAUCAGAACUCUAAAAUUUCAAACUUGGAAUUUACCAAGAGAAAAGCUAAUUUCCUUCCCUGGGCCUCAGUUUCUUUUUUGGAAGGCAAUGAAUUUCAUUCAAAAUUUUCAAAAUUAUUAACAUUUCACAAUUGUUUAUAAGUGAUUAAAUCCAGCAAGCAUUAGGAUGCAGAUGUAUUAAUUUGAGCUGCUGCUUCCAAGCAUCCAUAAAAUACGCAGUAGGGAGCAAGAAAAGAAUCCUCUGAGAUACAUGGUGAUUCCCUUUGGAAAGUGUUCACUGUACUCUGAAUUUACCGCUUCAACUUAUAAUGAAUUUAACCUCUUAAACUGAAUUCUCAAAGUGUCAAUGACCAAGAUGUUCCCAAAGAUGAGAGUCUCCACAGCUGGAAAAUUCAGUUAUAGGAAAAUGACUUUUUUUUUCACAAAAGAACCUUUUUUGUACAUGUGAAGACAACAGUUUCAACACUUGCUUUGUUUUAUUUUUUGGCUGGCAGCACCUGAAGAUGGCAAAACUUUGAAUUAUUGGGUCAGAGCCCACUUUUAAAGCAGUUAUAUAUCUGUUCUAAUUUGGGAACACAGCUGCCUUUUUCUUACUGAAAUGAGAUUUUUAUGUUAUUAAGAAAAUCUGGCAAUGUUAAAGGAGAAAGUACAAAUAUUUAUAAGUUCAAAGAAUGAAAAUAUUUUAUUAGAAAAAGAUCAUGUCUCCGAUAUGUAUUCUGGUGUAAAUGUUCUUAUUCUUAAAUCUCAGAGCUGUGGUUCAUCAUGUUUGCCUCAAGCAAACUGAGAAAUCACAGUUUCUCUCUGUUGUUUCAUGUUUGUGUAUGAACCAUAUAAAGACGGUCGCAACUAACUUAAUUUGUGUGUUCACAUAUGAUUUCCAUGAUGUUGAGUUUUUCAUGCACACUAUAAUAACCAUCAUUUUCUUGA